CGGGGACCGCGGGGACCGCGGGGACCGCGGGGACCGCGGGGACCGCGGGGACCGCGGGGACCGCGGGGACCGCCCGGGGCCGGCACCCGGAGACUGUGGCCCCGUCGGUCGCUCGUCGGUCCUUCCCUGCCAGGCGCCUUUUGUCUUCCCUCCCGCGUCGCGGUCGGGCCGGGCUGGGCUGGUGAGGACCGUCCUGAGCCUUGAGGGGAAGCCCGCGGAGGGCGCCAUGGGCCCGGGCGGGGGCACGCGUGGGGCUCCCGGUCGUUGGACCCGAUUUUCUCCCCAGAUUUUCCGAGGCCCGCUGCGGAGUUGGGGACCGGGCCUGACCGGACCGGGCCGGGCCGCGAGGGGAGGCCCGUAUAGGGCGCCAACGCCGGCGCGCCCGCGAUCCCCGUUGAGGUCCGGCCGUCGGGGGCGCCUCCGCGGAAUUCAACCCCCCCCCAAAACAGUCCCAGCCGGGGGUCGGGGACUGGCACGGGGCCGGUCUUGCGAGGGCCGGGGAGGCUUCUGCAGGCGACAGCGCGGAGUGUUUUAUUUUUCUAAGUCCCGACCCGGAGACGACCCGUGCACGGGCGAACGUGUAACGGGGCAGGGCCUACCCGGGCAGCCCCCCCCAAUCCCGCGAUUCCCUGGUCGGUCGGUCGGUCGGUCCUGGGGUCGACCAGAUGGCCCCCGGGGACUUCCGGGGGGGAGGUGGUUGCUCGGCGGCAAUGGGAAGAUGCUUGGGGCUCGUGGCCGGGCCAGGGUCCCAGAAGGUCCCAGUGACCUGUGGCUCGGCCCCGCCUGCCAACGCGGUUAUUUUUGUCUCCUGAAAGGGGUGCUUUUUGCUGCCAGGUAGGUGCUGACACGUUCUGAUGUGGCGGUGGUCAUGCCGUAAGAGAGACUUGGGCCUCGUCGUCCCUGGCGUGGGCUCCGGGCUUGGCGGUGACGCUGAGCCGGACCCGACUCCGCCCUUGCCUGCCUGCUUGCUCGAGCCGUCUGCCUGGGCCUGCGCGCCGGCUCUUGUGCAUCCAGGUGUGGUCCAGGCUGUGGCGCCACCUCCGGUCUCUGGCACCCGAGGGCGGCGUGGGGAGGCGGCGUGGGUCUUCUACCCUGUGCGCUCCCCGCUGUGGGCACCCGGCCGCGGCCGUGACAAACCCACCCUCGCAAGGCUCCGUGCCGCGUGUCAGGCGUUCCCCUUUUCUCUUGUGGGUUGUCCGGCUGCCUGUUCCCUGGGAGAGGUGGGGGAGGGGGGCCGGCGAGGCGGAAGCAGGCCCUCCUCUGGUCGCUGUCCUCGCCGGGCGUUUCCCCAGCCCCCCCUCACCCCAGGACUGCCUCGUGUGGCGGUAACCGAUCGAUGUGGUGAUCUCGCGCUCUCCCGGGCCGGGCCUAAGCCGUGUCAGACGAGGGACGGACACUCCUGGUGGGUGGGACCGCUCUUCUCGUUCUGCCUGCGGGCCCCAUGCUCCUCCUUCCCGCCUGUGGGCGGUGCGGGGGGGUGCAGAGGGGUGCGGACUCCGGCCCGACCCCGGCCUCCCGUCGCUGCGGGACUGGGGUCGGCUGACGCAGCGGACACUCUCGCUGGCCUCUCCUGGCUGUUUGUGGUGGGUGACCUCCUCCCCGUGGUGGGGGGGGGGGCGCACCCGAUGCCACGCUGCUCGCCGCCUGGGCGUGCUGAGCGCGUGGCGCCUGGCCCUCCGUGGUGCCCCUGGAGCGCUCCAGGUCGUCUCAGGUGCCUGAAGCCGAGUGGUGGUGCCGUUCCCUGUUCCCAGCGGACCCCCCUUUGGGUCACCGCCAUUGGCGGAGAUGCCCGAGGUGGGCGGGUGGCAGAAUCGGUGAAGGGAGGCACACCCGUUCCCCCCGCUGUGGGGAGCGGGCGCCUUGUCGUUCCCGCCCCGCAACGGCCGCUGUUGCCCGGAGGGUGCGGGGGACUGACUUGGUGGGGCGAGUUGAGCGAUCGUGGCGGGCCGAGCCGGCGCCGUGGCGCUUGGCCAAAACCCCCCUCUGAGCGAGGACUGUCGGUUUCUUGCCCAGCGCGUUGCUGCCGGUGUUUUGCCUCGGUUUUUCUCGGGCCUCACCCGGAGGCGCGGCGCUCCUUCCGGGCGGCGACACGAGCAACAGCGCGCGUGGGGAAGGCAGGCGGCCCUUGUUGUGGGCCCUGACCGCGAAUGCUCCGGAAUGCCCUGUGUCACUCCGUUGCCGUGGACCUUUCUCCCCCGCCCUGGGUCCUGGUGGCCCCGGGAAGAAACGCCUUUUGUUUGGCGGGUUCCCGAUGGGGGGGACGAAUUGGGUGGGGGUCGACGCGCCCUUGGUGAGAAAGCCUUCUCUAGCGAUCCGAGAGGGUGCCUUGGGGUACCGGAACCCCCCAGUCGCUGCCCCUCCUGUGCGCGUAGUGGCCACCUGUGUCAGGGUGACUGCAUGCCCUUGUGCGUGUUAGGCGGAGCCUUCUCUCCCGUGUGAGAGGAGGUGGGACGGGGCCCGUCUUGAGUGGGCGCGGCGCGCGCGCCUGGGCGUGGGGCGGGUCCCGGCUUGUCCGUCGUUGGCUGCCCCGCGACCGCGCGCCCGCCCCCCCGGUGGAGGGGUGCCCGGGUCUCGGCCCGGCCCCCGCCCCGCGUGAGCGUGUGCGCCGGCCUGCUGUGCCAGCCUCGGCGCGACCUGUCCGGGGCUCCGUCCCUCGCUCGCGCGCCGCCACCGGGUUGUUGGGGGUCGGCGCGCGUUGGAGGGGGGGACGUGUGCGUGUCCUCCCCCGCCUCUCCACGCCGUCGCCGGUGUUGGCCCGGUCCCGCGGGGGCGGGGUCGGUCAGUCCGUCACGCUCGCUCGCUGCGGGGUGGGACGGGGCCCGUCUUGAGUGGGCGCGGCGCGCGCGCCUGGGCGUGGGGCGGGUCCCGGCUUGUCCGUCGUUGGCUGCCCCGCGACCGCGCGCCCGCCCCCCCGGUGGAGGGGUGCCCGGGUCUCGGCCCGGCCCCCGCCCCGCGUGAGCGUGUGCGCCGGCCUGCUGUGCCAGCCUCGGCGCGACCUGUCCGGGGCUCCGUCCCUCGCUCGCGCGCCGCCACCGGGUUGUUGGGGGUCGGCGCGCGUUGGAGGGGGGGACGUGUGCGUGUCCUCCCCCGCCUCUCCACGCCGUCGCCGGUGUUGGCCCGGUCCCGCGGGGGCGGGGUCGG
ensembl:lncRNA